rnacentral:rRNA from 1 species
GACGAACGCUGGCGGCGUGCUUAACACAUGCAAGUCGAACGGAAAGGCCCUGCUUGCAGGGUACUCGAGUGGCGAACGGGUGAGUAACACGUGGGUGAUCUGCCCUGCAUUUCGGGAUAAGCCUGGGAAACUGGGUUUAUUACCGGUACGGCGCCAUUUUUAGUGUGAUGGUUGGAAAGUUUUUUCGGUGUAGGAUGAGCUGGCGGCCUAUCAGCUUGUUGGUGGGGUAAUGGCCUACCAAGGCGGCGACGGGUAGCCGGCCUGAGAGGGUGAACGGCCAUAUAGGGACUGAGAUACGGCCGAGACGCCUACGGGAGGCAGAAGUGGGGAAUAUUGCACAAUGCGCGCAAGCUGGAUGCAGCGACGCCGCGUGGGGGAUGACGGUCUUCGGGUUGUGAACUGCUUGCGAGAGGGACGAAGCUUGUUGUGACGGUACCAAGAUAAGAAGCACCGGCUAACUACGUG